UAAGUACUCGUCCCGUUUACGGGGUAGGAACAAACUCAUCGAAAGGUGAGCUAAAUCUCCGUAAUGUUUUACUAUGGCAUCAUAGUUCAACCAAGUUUUCUAAGGGAUGAGCCUGCGUCUGAUUAGCUAGUUGGUGAGGUAACGGCUCACCAAGGCUACGAUCAGUAGCUGGUCUGAGAGGAUGAUCAGCCACAUUGGGACUGAGACACGGCCCAG
rnacentral:rRNA from 1 species